UUGAAAAAUAAGAAUAAAGGAAGUAUAACUAACUUAGAGAAAUACGACUGAGACAUAAUCAUGAACUAGGUGAACACAAGCAGCAGCCGAUGUGCUUGAGUUGCAGAUGGAGCAACUACGUUGUGAGAGGGCCACGGCUUCAGCCCUCACAAUGAUAGCUGAAGCAAUGAACAGACAGGCUGCAGUCAAUGAGAGGCUUCUUGAGCAGGGGCUCCUCAUAUGGAAAAAGGCUAAUGAAAGGAACAAUCAAGACUGGCGGUGCGUGGGAGGAUCCCGUCCCUGCGCAUGCGCCUGGCCUUCAAUGGCCUCACGCCUCUCUUCUUCCUCUUCUUCAUGCGUCAAUUCAAACAGAGGAGCACCUGUGAUUACUGAUUACCUAAGUUCCUAUAUACAAUAA